rnacentral:rRNA from 1 species
CCUACGUGAGGCAGCAGUGGGGAAUAUUGGACAAUGGGCGAAAGCCUGAUCCAGCCAUGCCGCGUGUGUGAAGAAGGCCUUCGGGUUGUAAAGCACUUUCAGUGGGGAAGAAAGCCUUGGGGCUAAUACCCUCGAGGAAGGACAUCACCCACAGAAGAAGCACCGGCUAACUCCGUGCCAGCAGCCGCGGUAAUACGGAGGGUGCGAGCGUUAAUCGGAAUUACUGGGCGUACAGCGCGCGUAGGCGGUCUGAUAAGCCGGUUGUGAAAGCCCCGGGCUCAACCUGGGAACGGCAUCCGGAACUGUCAGGCUAGAGUGCAGGAGAGGAAGGUAGAAUUCCCGGUGUAGCGGUGAAAUGCGUAGAGAUCGGGAGGAAUACCAGUGGCGAAGGCGGCCUUCUGGACUGACACUGACGCUGAGGUGCGAAAGCGUGGGUAGCAAACAGGAUUAGAUACCCCGUAGUC